UAAUACGUAGGAGGCGAGCGUUAUCCGGAUUUACUGGGCGUAAAGAGGGCGUAGGCGGCCUUUUAAGUCGGAUGUGAAAUCUCCCGGCUCAACUGGGAGGGGUCAUUCGAUACUGUUAGGCUUGAGGGCAGCAAGAGGAGGUGGAAUUCCCGGUGUAGUGGUGAUAUGCGUAGAUAUCGGGAGGAACACCAGUGGCGAAGGCGGCCUUCUGGGCUGUUUCUGACGCUGAGGCCCGAAAGUGUGGGGAGCGAACAGGAUUAGAUACCCUGGUAGUCCACACCGUAAACGAUGGACACUAGGUAUGGGGAGUGUCGACCCUCUCCGUGCCGAAGCUAACGCUUUAAGUGUCCCGCCUGGGGAGUACGGCCGCAAGGCUA
rnacentral:rRNA from 1 species